CAUGGCAAGAGGAGCUGGGGAAAAGGUGAAGGACUGCCAGAGUCAUGCUCACCAUGGUCAAGCUGGCUUGAGCCAUUCCAGGCACUAUCUUUAGUUUCUAUUGCUGUAAUAAAACACUAUGACCAAAGGCAAGGUGGAGAAGGAAGGGUUUAUUUCCACUUACAACUCUUGGUUCACUCCAUCACUGAGAGAAUUUGGGGCAUAAACUCAAGGAAAGAACCUGAACCUGGAGGUAGCAACUGAAGGCAUGAGCAGGGGAGACUGCUCUUACUGCUUUGUUCCUUAUGGUUUGCCCAGGCUGCUUUCUUAUACAACUCAGGACCACCUACAGUGGGCCGAGGUGCACCACCCAUCUGUAACUGCAGCUUCAGCGGGUGAUCUGAUACCUCUUUUUGGCUCCAAGGACAGCAGGCAUAUACCUGGUAUAUAUACAUAAAUGCAGGCAAAACAUUCAUACAUGUAAAAUUAUAUAUGUAUUAAAAAGUGCUGGAGAGAUGACUCACUGGGUGAAGUGCUUGUUGCACAAGCAUGAAUACUUGAGUUCAGAUUCUCAAGCCAUUAUGUAACAAGCUGGGUGUGGCAGCACGCAUCUGUAACUCCAGUGCUUGGGGGUCAGGGGCAGGCUGAGACCCUAGGCAAGCAUGUUUAACUGGGCUGGGGAGAUGAAUCAGUGGGCAAAAGAGCUUUCCACACAACCCUGACGACUUAAGUUAGGAGCUCUAGAAUCCAUACAGAAAGGCUGGAUGCAAUAGUACAAGCAUUCGUGGUAUGUGCAGGCAUGGUAAUGGUGCUGGUGCUGGUGGCUUGGUGAUAGGGUAGGUACCACUGUUGGUGAUGGUGGUUACUGUUUGUGUGUUCCACAUUUCCCCAGCUCUCUCACAUACAUCUCAGAUCACUUUGUUUUGACCCCCAAAUCUAUAGUGGCUUCCAAUUGACUACAGGAUACAGCACACCCACCUUCCUCCCUGGGCUCCGUUUGAGGUUGCUUCUGUUUUCAUUCAGUGACUGCUCCCUUACUUCGCUGAAUACAUUCUGGUGUCAACAGGAGGAGGAGCCUUCCGUUGAACAAGCCCCACUAGUGGUCUCACUUCUUGUCUUCAGUCAAAUGCUUCCUCUUUCAUCAAGGCAGCCACCCUCACAGCUAACCUCUUUGUCUGCUUACCCACAGGAGGACAGCUUUGUGUCUCUAGCGUUUUUUUUCAUGUAGCAUUUUGGAGUUAGUGGCACGAAACUGCAGACUCGGUACAGUGAUAGGGACUUUUGGGCACUCAGAAGGGCUGUGUUAAGCUUACCAAAUACAUGGCCUCUAAAUUUUGCAGAAAUAAGCAUCCCACUGUGUAUGUGUGUGUGUGCGUGUGUGCAUGCGUGCAGGUGUGUCUCAAGUAGCCCAUGCAGAUCUUGAAUCCACUGGAUAGCUGAAGAUGACCUCAAACUCCAAAUCCUCCUAAACGUGACCCCCCAAGUGCUGAGAUUACAGGCAUGCACCGCCACACCUGGUUUCCUAAUUUAUGCAUGGUCCUUCCUAUAAUUUGGAUCUUGAGAUGAUCCUCAAGGGCCUGUGUGAUGAAGGGCUUGUUCCUCAGGAGGCACUGUUGAGAGGUGGUGGGACCUUUAAGAGGUGGAGCCAAGUGGAAGGUGUACUGUGGGACCCCCACCCCUUCCUCUUCCUCUUCUGCUUGCUGGCCCCGUCUUCCGGCGCUUUGCUUUGCUUUGCAUCUCCACUCUGUACUGCCUGACCCUAGACCCAAAGCAGGGUCAGUAGACUACAGACUGGAACUUCUAAGACAAAAGAAAUCGUUUCUAUUUCCAUCUCACAGGUGUUUCUUCUAGAGACAAUGCUGACUAACGUAGCCACCACUCAGGGCCUAGGCAGCCUUCCGUCAUUACCUCCAUUGUAAAUCAACAGUAUUUCCUUCCUACCCUGAACUGGGCCCAGGGAGGGAAGUGAGGAUGUUUGGCUUCUUCAGACCAUGAUGUGGUUCAUCAUGCUCAGGCCCUGUCAAUCAACGUGCGAGUGGCAAGCCUGUGGGGGAAGGGCAGCAUGGUAGCUGUUGGCUUGAGCAUGUCCUGAGAUGAGGCCAGUGAAGAUUCAGUAGGUUCUUUUUCCUCUCUUCUUUCUUGUCAACUGGUGAGCUUAUGAGGCCCAUUUACAGGAGCCUUAGCUAGAAACUUCUUACUCAAGCAUUCCGCCCCAUCCUACCCUGACCCUGGGUGACUACAAAAAGCAUCUGUGGGAAUCACUAACAGCAGAGAGAAAGUGCCCUCCCCUAUUCAGAGGUGAUGGAGGCCUCCAGGUACCAGCUGGAGUUGGUCCUUUAUGUAAACCAGGCAUUGGCCCCCCAACCUGUCUGCUGAUCUGCCUUGACUGCCUGUCUCACUACUAGGUUUUAAAUUUCUUGUGACCAGGAUACAGCUCAUUUGAACUAACUGCCCUCAUCUAUUUAUCCAGUCCCUUGGGGGUAAGGCAAAAAUGUGGGGCGAACCCUAUCCAAUUGUUUCCCUCCCUCCUCUCCUCCAGGAAAAGGCUACCCCUGUAAUCAUAAGCCUGCUUCCGUGCCUUGGGCUCCUCCUCCAUUAGCCCCUCUGUGCUGGUCCCACCCCUUCCCUGUGGGUCGUGAAAGGGUGUGACCUCCUUCAGUUCUGCCGCCACUACGCUCUCGCACCCGCUGCUCACUUCCACCCUCAGCGGAUGUCUGGGAGGCAGCUCAGCCUAUCCUCCCUCUAUAAUGGCUAACGCAUUCGCUUAAGGUUCAGAGACAAAAACUAGGCUGAUCUCCGGGGCUGCAGUUCUGAUGUUCCGCAAGUAGUGAUAAAAUGCGGUUUUAUCUGGCCUUUGUUUUUAUUUCACCUCAUUCUGUUAACACCCAAUAGAAAACCUUGUGUUUGUGUCUGAGGGAUGGACCCCGACCUCGCCCAAUUUUCAACAUUCCAGAAUGAUUCUUUGCCUCCUUUCCUCUCAGACUUUAAUAAAUCACUGCUUCUGGUGUGCGUUAAAGGUUAAGAGGGAUUUGAAGAGCCGAUCAAAAGCAAGUCUUAAUCUUUUGGACAGCAUUUUUCAAAAUGGGGUUAAAACUGACAUGGAUUGCUUUAAGGGCGAAGCAACUGAGAACCCAGAAAACCGCAUGGCGAGAAGCACGUAAAACAAAAAUAAAACGAUGCACCCUCC
ensembl:lincRNA